UACGAAGGGGGCUAGCGUUGUUCGGAAUUACUGGGCGUAAAGGGCGCGUAGGCGGCUUAACAAGUCACUUGUGAAAUCUCCGGGCUUAACUCGGAACGGCCAAGUGAAACUGUCAAGCUAGAGUGCGGAAGGGGCAAUCGGAAUUCUUGGUGUAGCGGUGAAAUGCGCAGAUAUCAGGAGGAACACCAUGGCGGAAGGCAGGUCACUCGUCGGGACGUGA
rnacentral:rRNA from 1 species